GCUGUGGUUGGAGUGUUAGGAAACAUCAAUUGAGGCUAGUGUUUGGCGGUUUAAGAAGAUUGUCAGUGGUAUGCAGGAUUGAGACAUACCAUUUGGAGUUGCGAAGGCCCUUAGUGAAGGAACCAAAGGACAUUGAGUGAACAUUCAGAGGCGUGUUAAGGACUGCAAAGUAUUUGAAGGGUAAGAUAAGUGGAGGAAGCUUUUGGGAUUGAAAAAGGAAAGCACCACAAAAGG